GAUGAACGCUGGCGGCGUGCCUAAUACAUGCAAGUCGAGCGAACGGACGAGAAGCUUGCUUCUCUGAUGUUAGCGGCGGACGGGUGAGUAACACGUGGAUAACCUACCUAUAAGACUGGGAUAACUUCGGGAAACCGGAGCUAAUACCGGAUAAUAUUUUGAACCGCAUGUUUCAAAAGUGAAAGACGGUCUUGCUGUCACUUAUAGAUGGAUCCGCGCUGCAUUAGCUAGUUGGUAAGGUAACGGCUUACCAAGGCAACGAUGCAUAGCCGACCUGAGAGGGUGAUCGGCCACACUGGAACUGAGACACGGUCCAGACUCCUACGGGAGGCAGCAGUAGGGAAUCUUCCGCAAUGGGCGAAAGCCUGACGGAGCAACGCCGCGUGAGUGAUGAAGGUCUUCGGAUCGUAAAACUCUGUUAUUAGUGAAGAACAUAUGUGUAAGUAACUGUGCACAUCUUGACGGUACCUAAUCAGAAAGCCACGGCUAACUACGUG
rnacentral:rRNA from 1 species